GACGAACGCUGGCGGCGUGCUUAACACAUGCAAGUCGAACGGUGAAGGGACCGGUUUUUGCUGGUUCUGUUUGAGGGGCGCACGGGUGAGUAACACGUGAGUAACCUCCACCCUUCUUCUGGAUAACCGCAUGAAAGUGUCGCUAAUACGGUAUAAUCUUCGCCUGCUGCAUGCAGGGGUGGGGGAAGAUCUUGUUGUGGCUGAGGGUUGGAUCGCGGCCUCUUAGGUUGUUGGUUGGGUUAUGGCCUACCAAGGCCGCGAUGGGUAGCCGGCCUGAGAGGGUGGUCGGCGACACUGGAGGGGAGACACGGUCCAGACUCCUACGGGAGGCAGCAGUAGGGAAUCUUCCGCAAUGGGCGAAAGCCUGACGGAGCAACGCCGCGUGGGGGAUGAAGGUCUUCGGAUCGUAAAACUCUGUUAUUAGGGAAGAACAUAUGUGUAAGUAACUGUGCACAUCUUGACGGUACCUAAUCAGAAAGCCACGGCUAACUACGUG
rnacentral:rRNA from 1 species